rnacentral:lncRNA from 1 species
CAUGGUGUUUUAGCUGAUGAGAAUUCAGAAAAAUGAAGAGAAAUCUAGAUAAUUCCACUUGGGUCCUAACUUUAUUAAGCAAAUUUUGCAAUUUUCCAAUUUUGCCCUUAAUUCUCCUUACUUUCUUGCUGAUUUCAUGCCUCUGCCGUCCAGCCCAAAUAGACCUUGGGUCUAUUUGCUUUUUAAGCCCUCUUCCUUUUAUCAUUUAAGCUAUUUAAUCAUUUUCCAAAAUUUUGCAUUUGUUACAAUUUAGUCCUUUUUGUUCAAUUAAUUAUCGGAACUUUAAAAUUUCUUAACGAAACUUUAAUACUAACUUUUUAACACUCCAUAAAUAUUUAUAAAAAUAUUUAUGGCUCAGUUUAAAAUCCCCGAGGUCUUGAUACCUCAUUUCGAUUCUAAUUAUUUUAAUAUUUAUUUCUAGUGCACUAUUCACUAUUUCAAAAAUUUUCUUAACUUCAUAUUUAACUUAUACUUACUAAAUUAAUAAUACUUUCUACCCAUUUGUCGAAUUUAGUGAUCUCGAAUCACCGUUCCGACACCUCUGAAAAUUCAAG